GUGCCAGCAGCCGCGGUAAUACGGAGGGUGCGAGCGUUAAUCGGAAUUACUGGGCGUAAAGCGUACGUAGGCGGUUUAUUAAGUUAAAUGUGAAAUCCCUGGGCUUAACCUAGGAACUGCAUUUAAAACUGGUAAGCUUGAGUAUGGCAGAGGGGGGUAGAAUUCCAGGUGUAGCGGUGAAAUGCGUAGAGAUCUGGAGGAAUACCGAAGGCGAAGGCAACCCCCUGGGCCAUCACUGACACUGAGGCACGAAAGCGUGGGGAGCAAACAGGAUUAGAUACCCUAGUAGUCC
rnacentral:rRNA from 1 species